rnacentral:rRNA from 1 species
UACGUAGGGUGCAAGCGUUAAUCGGAAUUACUGGGCGUAAAGCGUGCGCAGGCGGUUUUGCAAGACAGAUGUGAAAUCCCCGGGCUCAACCUGGGAACUGCAUUUGUGACUGCAAGGCUAGAAUCUGGCAGAGGGGGGUAGAAUUCCACGUGUAGCAGUGAAAUGCGUAGAUAUGUGGAGGAAUACCGAUGGCGAAGGCAGCCCCCUGGGCUAAGAUUGACACUCAUGCACGAAAGCGUGGGGAGCAAACAGG